rnacentral:rRNA from 1 species
AGAGUUUGAUUAUGGCUCAGAACGAACGCUGGCGGCGUGCCUAACACAUGCGAGUCGAACGGGAAUGUCGGGGCAACUCGACUAGUACCGUGGCGCACGGUGAGUAACACGUAGGUAACCUACCUAUCAGUGGGGAACAACUUCGGGAAACCGAGGCUAAUACCGCAUACGUCCCGCUGUCGUAUUGAUAGCGGGGGAAAGGUGGCCUCUACAUGUAAGCUAUCGCUGAUAGAUGGGCCUGCGUACCAUUAGCUAGUUGGUAGGGUAAUGGCCUACCAAGGCAACGAUGGUUAGCUGAUCUGAGAGGACGAUCAGCCACACUGGCACUGGAACACGGGCCAGACUCCUACGGGAGGCAGCAGUGGGGAAUAUUGCGCAAUGGGCGAAACGUGACGCAGCAACGCCGCGUGAGUGAUGAAGGCCUUCGGGUCGUAAAGCUCUGUCGGCAGGGGCGAAACUCCGGUGGAAAUAAUACUCCAUCGGUUUGACGGUACCUGCAAAGGAUGCACCGGCUAACUCCGUGCCAGCAGCCGCGGUAAUACGGAGGGUGCAAGCGUUGUUCGGAAUUACUGGGCGUAAAGCGCGUGCAGGUGGGCUAAGUAGUCGGGUGUGAAAUCCCUCGGCUUAACCGAGGAAGUGCGCCCGAAACCAUUAGUCUAGAGGUCCGGAGGGAUCGGGGAAUUCCCAGUGUAGAGGUGAAAUUCGUAGAUAUUGGGAGGAACAUCGGUGACGAAGGUGCCGAUCUGGACGGAUUCUGACACUGAUACGCGAAACAUGGGGAGCAAACAGGAUUAGAUACCCUGGUAGUCCAUGCUGUAAACGAUGGGUACUAGGUGUCUGGGUUUUGACCCCCUCGGUGCCGACGCAAACGCAUUAAGUACCCCGCCUGGGAAGUACGGCCGCAAGGUUGAAACUCAAAGGAAUUGACGGGGGCGCGCACAAGCGGUGGAGUAUGUGGUUCAAUUCGAGCCAACGCGAAAAACCUUACCUGGGCUUGACAUCUGGGGAAUCCUUCAGAGAUGAGGGAGUGCCCGCAAGGGAACCCCAAGACAGGUGCUGCAUGGCUGUCGUCAGCUCGUGUCGUGAGAUGUUGGGUUAAGUCUCACAACGAGCGCAACCCCUGCUCUUAGUUGCUACCAUUUAGUUGAGCACUCUAAGGGGACUGCCGGUGAGAAACCGGAGGAAGGUGGGGACGACGUCAAGUCCUCAUGGCCUUUAUGCCCAGGGCUACACACGUACUACAAUGGCUGGUACAAAGGGUUGCCAAACCGCAAGGUGGAGCCAAUCCCAAAAAACCAGUCUAAGUUCAGAUUGUUCUCUGCAGCUCGAGAACAUGAAGGUGGAAUCGCUAGUAAUCGCUGAUCAGCAUGCAGCGGUGAAUACGUUCCUGGGCCUUGUACACACCGCCCGUCACACCACGAAAGUUGUUUAUACCAGAAGUGCGUGACCUAACCGCAAGGGAGGAGCGUCCCAAGGUAUGAGCAAUGAUUGGGGUGAAGUCGUAACAAGGUAGCCGUAGGGGAACUGCGGCUGGAUCACCUCCUUUCU